ensembl:lncRNA
CUCCUGUAUUUAUCAGUGCAUAAUGUAAUAAUCUACAGGCUGAGCCUGUGUCACAGGGUUAAUGUGUAUUUGUUUGUUUAUAUAUAUAUGUAUAUAUUAUAUGUUUAUACAGAGUAUUGUAUCUGAGCAAAGAAGAACAGUGUAUUGCGAAAAAUGGCGGACGUACUGAGCAAGUUCUGUAAAUUAAAGCUUUUGUUUUGCUUUUUAUUUAUUUUCCUUAUUGCACAAUGUAUAUAAUGUAUUGAAUCACGAAUCUAUAGUUUGUUUUGUUUAUAUGAUCUUUUUGGAUAUUCCGUUAGACUUUUUUUUUUUUUGCAAUCUUGUUGUACAUGUCGCCAUCUAGCGGAGACCAGCAUCGCUGCCGUUUGUGUUUCGGCUUCUGUGACGGGAAAACCCGGGCGCGUGCCGAAGUGAGCAGGUGAUGUUUAGGAACAUUUAGCUUCGAGUUUAAACUCAUUUUAUUCAUAAUAAACUGCAGUAACAAAUCUUUACUGUGUAACUACAAAAGUUCAGUUUAUGGUGUAGCCUAAAUGACGUCAUCACUUCCAGAAAUGUCGAGGUUAAUACAUGAAUUAGAGUUUUAAUUCUGUUUACUGGACUGGACAUGGCUUGUUUACUGUGCUAAUGGGCGUGCUCGUCCUGGUCUAAUCUCAAGCACGCGCGCGGUGGUGUGUCGGGAGCGCGCAAGGCGCGCGCACAUACAAUCUGAAAACACCGCAUCGUGCUCUGAUCACCUUCAUCACUGCAGUGCCCAGGUCUCAGUGGAUCAGGAAUUAAAGCUGAGCUGCAGUUUUUACUCGGUGACGUCACUGAAGCUGAAGCUCUGAGCACGAGGAAGACGAGGAAGACGAGGAAGAUGUUUUUACACUGAAACACACCAGUUUAUUUACCUGUUUAUCAGAGCGUCACGCACUGAAUUCCCCUCAGUAAAAGCUGUUGGUGUAAAGCUCAGUGAGGAUGAUGAAGGGGUGUCUGCAGUUCCUCAGAGAACCAGCCAAGAACCUGAAGAUCUGCCUGAAGGUGAGACGUCUAUAAUAUCAACACAACAUACAGCAUCACCUCACAGCUAUUCACGACCGGGACCCUGCUUCACGCCCGUAAUAAAUAAAUAAAUAAAUAAAUACAGAAAUAAAAUUAAACAUAGUUAUCAUAUUUAGCAAUGAAAUAGAAUUUGUGAUAAUUAUUAAUGUAAUAUAAAAAUAUCAUCAGUUCAAGUCUGAGACGUCCACACGUUCAUGCGUCCUAAUUAAGAGACUCUUUAUAUCUGUCAAUGUCUAAUUUAAAGAUUUUAUAUAUAUAUAUAUAUAUAU